GUCAAAGUUCUCUUUGGUUAUCUAGCUGUAUGAGUGAAUUUAGAACAUCAUAAAGCUAGCAUACCGAAGUUAAUAGUUGAC
rnacentral:pre_miRNA from 1 species